rfam:Nicotiana sylvestris Nsyl_contig44012, whole genome shotgun sequence.
ACCUACUUGACUUAGCGAUUAGAGUAUCGCUUUCAUACAGAGAGAGUCAUUGGUUCAAAUCCAAUAGUAGGUA